ACGAGUACUUGUUUUUUACUCGAUUUUCUGGACAGUGGAAAUCACGGAAAUUUCCGUCUGUUUGCACUUGUCUUGUCUUUUCCGUUAAUAAAGAGGGAGAAAUAGGAGGAGGGAGAGAGGGAGAGGGAGAGGGAGAGAUGUCACUGGUGGACUACGCUUCUACAGAUGAAGAUGAAGAUGAAGAUGAAGAUGAAGAACAAGAUAUUAAAGAAGAAAGCAUAGGCAAUGCAUACAUCCCAAUCGAAGAACCUUCAAAUAUGCCUCCAAAUUUUGCAUAUUAUAUUUUAGUUUCAUUCAAUCGGCUGAAACUAGGGUUUGUUUGUUAUUUGAUGACAUGAAAAUCCCCCUUUCUUGUUGUUCUACCUAGAAAAUAUUAUAAAUUUUAUAUGAAAUAAAAUAGGAUUUAUUAUUAUUAUUAUUAUUAUUAUUAUUAUUUUGGGGGGUGGGAGUGGGGGAGAGCUUUUGUUUUCUUUUGUUGAAUAAUUGGAAUUUGUUGUAACAUUUAUAUUGAAUUUAAGGAAGGGAAUUGAUAUUUUCUCUUUUGAUAUUUUCAUGUGGCUCCCUCACAUAGUAUAAUAAGAAUAAACAAGAAUAAGGUGGGUCUUACCUUCCUGUGAAGG
rnacentral:lncRNA from 1 species